rnacentral:rRNA from 1 species
AUUGAACGCUGGCGGCAGGCCUAACACAUGCAAGUCGAGCGGAUGAAGGGAGCUUGCUCCUGGAUUCAGCGGCGGACGGGCGAGCAAUGCCUAGGAAUCUGCCUGGUAGUGGGGGAUAACGUCCGGAAACGGGCGCUAAUACCGCAUACGUCCUGAGGGAGAAAGUGGGGGAUCUUCGGACCUCACGCUAUCAGAUGAGCCUAGGUCGGAUUAGCUAGUUGGUGGGGUAAAGGCCUACCAAGGCGACGAUCCGUAACUGGUCUGAGAGGAUGAUCAGUCACACUGGAACUGAGACACGGUCCAGACUCCUACGGGAGGCAGCAGUGGGGAAUAUUGGACAAUGGGCGAAAGCCUGAUCCAGCCAUGCCGCGUGUGUGAAGAAGGUCUUCGGAUUGUAAAGCACUUUAAGUUGGGAGGAAGGGCAGUAAGUUAAUACCUUGCUGUUUUGACGUUACCAACAGAAUAAGCACCGGCUAACUUCGUG